rnacentral:rRNA from 1 species
GACGAACGCUGGCGGCGUGCCUAAUACAUGCAAGUCGAACGCAGUGGGGACGGGUGAGUAACAAGUGGGUAACCUGCCAUCAGAGGGGAUAACACUUGGCAAAAGGUGCUAAACCGAUACUGAUGGAUGGACCCGCGGUGCAUUAGCUAGUUGUUGGGGUAACGGUUCACCAAGGCCACGAUGCAUAGCCGGCCUGAGAGGGUGACCGGCCACACUGGGACUGAGACACGGCCCAGACUCCUACGGGAGGCAGCAGUAGGGAAUCUUCGACAAUGGGCGAAAGCCUGACGGAGCAACGCCGCGUGAGUGAAGAAGGCUUUCGGGUUGUAAAACUCUGUUAUUAGAGAAGCGGUAUUUAACCAAGAAGCAACGGCUAACUACGUGCCAGCAGCCGCGGUAAUAC